UUGGUGACCAGCGGAGGGAUCAUUACAGAGUUGCAAAACUCCCUAAACCAUCGUGAACGCUACCUAAACCGUUGCUUCGGCGGGCGGCGCCCUCGCGCGCCCCUGGGCCCGCACCGCGGGCGCCCGCCGGAGGUACACCAAACUCUUGAUACGUUAUGGCCACUCUGAGUCUUCUGUACUGAAUAAGUCAAAACUUUCAACAACGGAUCUCUUGGUUCUGGCAUCGAUGAAGAACGCAGCGAAAUGCGAUAAGUAAUGUGAAUUGCAGAAUUCAGUGAAUCAUCGAAUCUUUGAACGCACAUUGCGCCCGCCAGCAUCCUGGCGGGCAUGCCUGUUCGAGCGUCAUUUCAACCCAUCAAGCCCACGGCUUGUGUUGGGGACCUGCGGCUGCCCGCAGGCCCUGAAAACCAGUGGCGGGCUCGCUAGUCACACCGAGCGUAGUAGCAUACGACCUCGCUCAGGGCGUGCUGCGGGUUCCAGCCGUAAAACGACCUUCGUAACCCAAGGUUGACCUCGGAUCAGGUAGGAGGACCCGCUGAACUUAAGCAUAUCAAUA
rnacentral:rRNA from 1 species